UACAGAGGAGCCAAGCGUUGUCCGGAUUGACUGGGCGUAAAGCGCACGCAGGUGGUCGUGCAAGUGUCGUGUGAAAGCAACUCGCUCAACGAGCUGAGGCAUGGCAGACUGCAUCACUCGAGCCCGUGAGAGGUCGGUGGAAUUGCCGGUGUAGUGGUGAAAUGCAUAGAGAUCGGCAGGAACACCCAGGGGGAAGCCAGCCGACUGGCACGGUGCUGACACUGAGGUGCGACAGCGUGGGGAGCAAACGGG
rnacentral:rRNA from 1 species